AUUCCUUACAAAACACUUAAAAGGUUUUGUUUUUAUCAACAGCAUACUUAUUUUGUAGCAUGACUUUUAAUUUGACAGAUUUUUAGUAUAGUCUCUAUUCCGUGUUAUUCCUACUGACCGCAGCUAUUGCAUUGUCGAUGCUUUCUUCACUGCAGUCGUGAAAGACCCUUGGUGUAUUACACACAUUUCUCUUUAGAAACUGCCAAUAAGUUUUAAUUAUUCAAAUUCCUACUCGGUUCAACACUUGGCGUUUUAAUUAAAUUGGCUUUACAACAAAUAUUAAAGUAGAUUUACAUUUUUAAUAUGUUUGUUGUAAAAUUAUGUGUGGUGUUAACAUUUCAGUUUCGAUUUAAGUUCGGAAUAAAAUAAUGUGUAUUUCAAUACUUUCUUGGUGAUAUUUUUGUGUAGAAUCAGUUAUGACUAUUUAAUGUGUUAAAAAAAGAAUUCAUUGAUUAACUUACUAUUUUAUUACUGCAUGGUUGCACCGGAACGUGGCGCACAUGUGCUUUUGAAUUAUGAUAUAUUAUAGUUCUCACAAGUUAACAUCACUUUUGAAUGAUAACCCAGUCCAUCUGUUAUUAUUACCACAUUUCUGCAGCAAUAAUUAAAUAAAGUUGAAUUUAAAAACUAAAUAUAAGAAAUUGUUCGAUUUUUACAUUCAUUUUGAUAUCAGUUAUUUGUACUGCUUCUUUAAAGAAAACAUGCUAAAUCUGAUCCAACCAUACAACUUACUUAGUCCCACACCUUUUUCAUUAAAAAAAUCUGGUAUAAAAAUUAAAAAAUAAAGAAUUAUACAACUAAUUUAUUUAAUAAAUGUUUUACAAGUAUGUUUAUACUUUACGUAAGAUAAAGUAAAUUUCUUAGUUACUCGUGUCAAAAGUAAUAUACAUUCAGUGUAAGUUUUAGUCACAGCGUCAGAAAAGCAUAGUGUAAUAUUAGCCUAACAACUGCAAGCGUGCAAGGACAUUAUAUAUAUAUACAUACAUAUUGUCACGGUCUGAAAAUUUCAUUACUUUUUUUUUAAAUUUUAUAUUACUUUUGUUUCUCGUCAGGUUUACGUGUUGGUGUACGUGCACGUUUCCAGGCUCGGCCGGUUGAUUUUGACACGCGGGUAUGGGAAUAUAGGUUGCUGCGACAUUAGUUUACAGGCACCGCGGGCUUUUGCGAGGCUGCGUGGUUAGCUAAUUCUCGCAGGUAGCUGGCCAGGGCCUGCUGAGAGGUUGCAACACGCCGUUCCAGAAAAACCCGCUGCGCUACGCUAGUCUUUUGUUUGUCGUUCUGUGUAUGUUCUGCAACGCGAAGCCUUUGUGGACGCGUUUCGAGGACUCUGUCCUGAUUAGUGAUGCCAUCUUGCGUCCGAGUUUGGAAACGUAGACGGAAAAAUAACAAUCGAGCAGCGCAAGAGGGAGAGGGGGAAACUCGCUCGCGCCUGCGCGGAAGGAAUAGCUGUCUUCACUUGUUUUUUUAUUUUUUUCCUUGUGGGAAGGGAGGGGACCGCGAGUUGCCCUGUGGAUAAGUUUCCCCGGUGUUGGUGUUUCUUUUUUUUUCCGGCUUGGCCCAGUUUUGUGUUUAAAACCUCCUUCCAGGGAGGGGCCGAGGCUUUUUGCCUGGGGACCUCUCUGGAAGCCGAGUCCACGUCGGUUUGAAACAACUUUGCUUCGCCUCAAGUCAGAAGGUUUCACUGGGGAGACAUCCCCGAUGACAUGCUGCGAGGAAGGCAGGCUGAGGGCAGAACUGCUCUGAAGGCUGGAUCCUGGGUGUGAGCUGCAGAUCACACUUCAAGGACUCUUCUCUCCAGCUUCAACUAGGGCUGAUCUGUCCACGGUUCAUGCCUCUCCUAGUUGUAUGUCGUACGAGUAGUUUUACGAUGUGCCAGCCACCAUCGAUUCUUACCGGAAAGAAUUGUUUCCUGGGCUAUUUUGUAUUUUGUAUUGGUUUAACUUUUUCAGUUUAGACUUUGAAUGUAAUUGUUGUGGUAAAACCUAACCUUCGUGCGCUGUCUUGUUCUAGUAGGCAUUUAACUUGUAAUUCUUUGCCCCUUGUUUAUUCAUUGUUAGGAAUUUUUAUGGCUUGUGGGGCACAAGCUCUUGUAGACCGGGGUAAUGUCACGGUCUGAAAAUUUCAUUACUUUUUUUUUAAAUUUUAUUUUACUUUUGUUUCUCGUCAGGUUUACGUGUUGGUGUACGUGCACGUUUCCAGGCUCGGCCGGUUGAUUUCGACACGCGGGUAUGGGAAUAUAGGUUGCUGCGACAUUAGUUUACAGGCACCGCGGGCUUUUGCGAGGCUGCGUGGUUAGCUAAUUCUCGCAGGUAGCUGGCCAGGGCCUGCUGAGAGGUUGCAACACGCCGUUCCAGAAAAACCCGCUGCGCUACGCUAGUCUUUUGUUUGUCGUUCUGUGUAUGUUCUGCAACGCGAAGCCUUUGUGGACGCGUUUCGAGGACUCUGUCCUGAUUAGUGAUGCCAUCUUGCGUCCGAGUUUGGAAACGUAGACGGAAAAAUAACAAUCGAGCAGCGCAAGAGGGAGAGGGGGAAACUCGCUCGCGCCUGCGCGGAAGGAAUAGCUGUCUUCACUUGUUUUUUUAUUUUUUUCCUUGUGGGAAGGGAGGGGACCGCGAGUUGCCCUGUGGAUAAGUUUCCCCGGUGUUGGUGUUUCUUUUUUUUUCCGGCUUGGCCCAGUUUUGUGUUUAAAACCUCCUUCCAGGGAGGGGCCGAGGCUUUUUGCCUGGGGACCUCUCUGGAAGCCGAGUCCACGUCGGUUUGAAACAACUUUGCUUCGCCUCAAGUCAGAAGGGUAAGUGGUUUGUCAUGGCUCGUUCGCCACGAUCAUUUCUUGGACGAUCUUCGUCUUAAUCUUUUAAGUAAUAAUGUAGUAUUGUUCCACCUCUAUUAUUUAUUAUUUGGUUUUUGGGAAAAAUCGACGUCUGGUUAUAAGCAUGCAGGUAGUGGUAACUGGGAAGUGUUCUGUUCCUUAGCAGCGCUGGCGCGACGACGGCCAUGUUGAAGAGAUAAUUGUUUGCCGGCGGACGUCACUUUAAUGUGUAUUUAAUGUAUUUAUUUAUUCAUUAAUCCCAUCCCAUUGUAAAAUGCUUUAUUAUUAAUUUGUUAAUCAAAUAUUUGGUUGAUUAUUAUUAUUUUUUUUAUUAUCCUAGUGAAUAAAAUCUGUGCUUGAAUGAA